AGUGAACGCUGGCGGUAGGCCUAACACAUGCAAGUCGAACGGCAGCACAGUAAGAGCUUGCUCUUACGGGUGGCGAGUGGCGGACGGGUGAGGAAUACAUCGGAAUCUACUUUUUCGUGGGGGAUAACGUAGGGAAACUUACGCUAAUACCGCAUACGACCUACGGGUGAAAGCAGGGGAUCUUCGGACCUUGCGCGAUUGAAUGAGCCGAUGUCGGAUUAACUAGUUGGCGGGGUAAAGGCCCACCAAGGCGACGAUCCGUAGCUGGUCUGAGAGGAUGAUCAGCCACACUGGAACUGAGACACGGUCCAGACUCCUACGGGAGGCAGCAGUGGGGAAUAUUGGACAAUGGGCGCAAGCCUGAUCCAGCCAUACCGCGUGGGUGAAGAAGGCCUUCGGGUUGUAAAGCCCUUUUGUUGGGAAAGAAAAGCAGCAGGUUAAUACCCCGCUGUUCUGACGGUACCCAAAGAAUAAGCACCGGCGAACUUCG
rnacentral:rRNA from 1 species